AUGGACAUCAACUGAGCUCCUGGCCCGGAUAAUAUAACAGCAGAAUUUUACCGUUUCUACUGGGAUAUUGUGAAGCAAGAUAUUAUGAACCUUUUUGUGGCCUUCCAUGAAGGCUCCUUGUAUGUGGGGAGGCUAAACUAUGGUAUCAUAACCCUUAUUCCUAAAAUCAACGGUGCGAAAAAAAAUCAAGAAUUCCGUCCCAUUUGUCUCCUCCGAUGCCCUUACAAGUUGAUUACCAAAGUCUUGGACAAUAGGGUGGCUAUCUUUGCUGACAAGCUUAUUGGCCGUCAUCAAAAUGCUUUUAUCAAAAAACGCAACAUCGUGGACGGGAUCCUGACUUUGCAUGAAGUUCUCCAUCAUACUCAUGUUAAAAAACGUGGGUUGUGCUAA
rnacentral:rRNA from 1 species